UGGCUCAGAACGAACGCUGGCGGCGUGCUUAACACAUGCAAGUCGAGCGGAAAGGCCCUUCGGGGUACUCGAGCGGCGAACGGGUGAGUAACACGUGAGUAACCUGCCCUUGGCUCUGGGAUAAGCCCGGGAAACUGGGUCUAAUACCGGAUACGACCACUGAAUGCAUGUUCGGUGGUGGAAAGUUUUUCGGCUGGGGAUGGACUCGCGGUCUAUCAGCUUGUUGGUGGGGUGAUGGCCUACCAAGGCGAGGGCGGAUAGCCGGCCUGAGAGGGUGACCGGCCACACUGGGACUGAGACACGGCCCAGAGACCUACGGGAGGCAGCAUUGG
rnacentral:rRNA from 1 species